rnacentral:rRNA from 1 species
UACAGAGGGUGCGAGCGUUGUCCGGAAUCACUGGGCGUAAAGGGCGCGUAGGCGGCUUGAUAAGGUUGCGGUGAAAGCCCGGGGCUCAACCCCGGGUCGGCCGUGGCAACUGUCGAGCUGGAGCACUGUAGAGGCAGGUGGAAUUCCGGGUGUAGCGGUGGAAUGCGUAGAGAUCCGGAAGAACACCGGUGGCGAAGGCGGGUCUCUGGGCCGAUACUGACGCUGAGGAGCGAAAGCGUGGGGAGCGAACAGG